UCGAAUUCCACAACGUCUUUUAGUAAUACUUGUAUCGUAGACAAGUAAAUCUAGUCCAACUUAAACUUUGGAAGAAAGUACAUUUGUUAUCCCGCUGAUCGCGGAUUCGUU